rnacentral:rRNA from 1 species
AACUUAAGCAUAUCAAUAAGCGGAGGAAAAGAAACUAACAAGGAUUCCCCUAGUAACUGCGAGUGAAGCGGGAAAAGCUCAAAUUUAAAAUCUGGCAGUCUUUGGCUGUCCGAGUUGUAGUCUGGAGAAGCGUCUUCCGCGCUGGACCGUGUACAAGUCUCCUGGAACGGAGCGUCAUAGAGGGUGAGAAUCCCGUCUUUGACACGGACUACCAGUGCUUUGUGAUGCGCUCUCAAAGAGUCGAGUUGUUUGGGAAUGCAGCUCAAAAUGGGUGGUGAACUCCAUCUAAAGCUAAAUAUUGGCGAGAGACCGAUAGCGAACAAGUACCGUGAGGGAAAGAUGAAAAGCACUUUGGAAAGAGAGUUAAACAGUACGUGAAAUUGCUGAAAGGGAAACGCUUGAAGUCAGUCGCGUUUGCUAGAACUCAGCCUGGCUUUUGCUUGGUGCAUUUUCUAGUAAACGGGCCAGCAUCACUUUUGGUUGCGGGAUAAAGGUCGCAGGAAUGUGGCACCUUCGGGUGUGUUAUAGCCUGUGAUUGCAUACCGUGGCCGGGAGUGAGGAACUCAGCACGCAUUUGUUGUGCUCAGGAUGCUGGCGUAAUGGCUUUAAACGACCCGUCUUGAAACACGGACCAAGGAGUCUAACAUGCCUGCGAGUGUUUGGGUGGUAAACCCGAGCGCGUAAUGAAAGUGAAAGUUGGGACCUCUGUCGUGGAGGGCACCGACGCCCGGACCAGACCUUCUGUGACGGAUCCGCGGUAGAGCAUGUAUGUUGGGACCCGAAAGAUGGUGAACUAUGCCUGAAUAGGGUGAAGCCAGAGGAAACUCUGGUGGAGGCUCGUAGCGAUUCUGACGUGCAAAUCGAUCGUCAAAUUUGGGUAUAGGGGCGAAAGACUAAUCGACC